GAUGAACGCUGGCGGCGUGCCUAAUACAUGCAAGUCGAGCGAACAGACGAGGAGCUUGCUCCUCUGAUGUUAGCGGCGGACGGGUGAGUAACACGUGGAUAACCUACCUAUAAGACUGGGAUAACUUCGGGAAACCGGAGCUAAUACCGGAUAACAUGUUGAACCGCAUGGUUCAACAGUGAAAGACGGUUUUGCUGUCACUUAUAGAUGGAUCCGCGCCGCAUUAGCUAGUUGGUAAGGUAACGGCUUACCAAGGCAACGAUGCGUAGCCGACCUGAGAGGGUGAUCGGCCACACUGGAACUGAGACACGGUCCAGACUCCUACGGGAGGCAGCAGUAGGGAAUCUUCCGCAAUGGGCGAAAGCCUGACGGAGCAACGCCGCGUGAGUGAAGAAGGUCUUCGGAUCGUAAAACUCUGUUAUUAGGGAAGAACAAAUGUGUAAGUAACUAUGCACGUCUUGACGGUACCUAAGCAGAAAGCCACGGCUAACUACGU
rnacentral:rRNA from 1 species